CACGGGGGGAGCAAGCGUUGUUCGGAAUCACUGGGCGUAAAGGGCGUGUAGGCGGUUCAGUAAGUGGGAUGUGAAAUCCCCCGGCUCACCCGGGGACCUGCAUCCCAAACUGCUGGGCUUGAGUAUGGGAGAGGUUGAGGGAAUUCCUGGUGUAGCGGUGAAAUGCGUAGAUAUCAGGAGGAACAUCGGUGGCGAAAGCGGCCUUCUGGACGAGUACUGACGCUGAGACGCGAAAGCGUGGGUAGCAAACAGG
rnacentral:rRNA from 1 species